UACAGAGACUGCAAGCGUUAUUCGGAUUCAUUGGGCGUAAAGGGUGCGCAGGCGGCCGGGUGUGUCAGAUGUGAAAUCUCGAGGCUUAACCUCGGAACUGCGUCUGAAACUACUCGGCUAGAGUAUUGGAGAGGGUAACGGAAUUCACGGUGUAGCAGUGAAAUGCGUAGAUAUCGUGAGGAACACCAGAGGCGAAGGCGGUUACCUGGACAAUUACUGACGCUCAGGCACGAAAGCAUGGGGAGCAAAAGGG
rnacentral:rRNA from 1 species